rnacentral:rRNA from 1 species
AACGAACGCUGGCGGCAGGCUUAACACAUGCAAGUCGAGCGCCCCGCAAGGGGAGCGGCAGACGGGUGAGUAACGCGUGGGAAUGUACCCUUUGCUACGGAAUAGCUCCGGGAAACUGGAAUUAAUACCGUAUGUGCCCUACGGGGGAAAGAUUUAUCGGCAAAGGAUCGGCCCGCGUUGGAUUAGCUAGUUGGUGGGGUAAUGGCCUACCAAGGCGACGAUCCAUAGCUGGUCUGAGAGGAUGAUCAGCCACAUUGGGGCUGAGACCCGGCCCAAACUCCGACGGGAGGCAGCAGUGGGGAAUAUUGGACAAGGGGCGCAAGCCUGAUCCAGCCAUGCCGCGUGAGUGAUGAAGGCCUUAGGGUUGUAAAGCUCUUUCACCGGAGAAGAUAAUGACGGUAUCCGGAGAAGAAGCCCCGGCUAACUUCGUGCCAGCCGCCGCCGUAAAAC